CUGGGGGAUUAGUGGCGAACGGGUGAGUAACACGUGAGUAACCUGCCCUUGACUCUGGGAUAAGCCUGGGAAACUGGGUCUAAUACCGGAUAUGACUGUCUGACGCAUGUCAGGUGGUGGAAAGCUUUUGUGGUUUUGGAUGGACUCGCGGCCUAUCAGCUUGUUGGUGGGGUAAUGGCCUACCAAGGCGACGACGGGUAGCCGGCCUGAGAGGGUGACCGGCCACACUGGGACUGAGACACGGCCCAGACUCCUACGGGAGGCAGCAGUGGGGAAUAUUGCACAAUGGGCGCAAGCCUGAUGCAGCGACGCCGCGUGAGGGAUGACGGCCUUCGGGUUGUAAACCUCUUUCAGUAGGGAAGAAGCGAAAGUGACGGUACCUGCAGAAGAAGCGCCGGCUAACUACGUGCCAGCAGCCGCGGUAAUACGUAGGGCGCAAGCGUUAUCCGGAAUUAUUGGGCGUAAAGAGCUCGUAGGCGGUUUGUCGCGUCUGCUGUGAAAGACCGGGGCUCAACUCCGGUUCUGCAGUGGGUACGGGCAGACUAGAGUGAUGUAGGGGAGACUGGAAUUCCUGGUGUAGCGGUGAAAUGCGCAGAUAUCAGGAGGAACACCGAUGGCGAAGGCAGGUCUCUGGGCAUUAACUGACGCUGAGGAGCGAAAGCAUGGGGAGCGAACAGGAUUAGAUACCCUGGUAGUCCAUGCCGUAAACGUUGGGCACUAGGUGUGGGGGACAUUCCACGUUUUCCGCGCCGUAGCUAACGCAUUAAGUGCCCCGCCUGGGGAGUACGGCCGCAAGGCUAAAACUCAAAGGAAUUGACGGGGGCCCGCACAAGCGGCGGAGCAUGCGGAUUAAUUCGAUGCAACGCGAAGAACCUUACCAAGGCUUGACAUGAACCGGUAAUACCUGGAAACAGGUGCCCCGCUUGCGGUCGGUUUACAGGUGGUGCAUGGUUGUCGUCAGCUCGUGUCGUGAGAUGUUGGGUUAAGUCCCGCAACGAGCGCAACCCUCGUUCUAUGUUGCCAGCGCGUUAUGGCGGGGACUCAUAGGAGACUGCCGGGGUCAACUCGGAGGAAGGUGGGGACGACGUCAAAUCAUCAUGCCCCUUAUGUCUUGGGCUUCACGCAUGCUACAAUGGCCGGUACAAAGGGUUGCGAUACUGUGAGGUGGAGCUAAUCCCAAAAAGCCGGUCUCAGUUCGGAUUGGGGUCUGCAACUCGACCCCAUGAAGUCGGAGUCGCUAGUAAUCGCAGAUCAGCAACGCUGCGGUGAAUACGUUCCCGGGCCUUGUACACACCGCCCGUCAAGUCACGAAAGUUGGUAACACCCGAAGCC
rnacentral:rRNA from 1 species